CUGGUUUGUGGUCAUGAAAGUCUCCUAAGGACACUUUAUCCAAUAAAGCACGCAGGUAAUUGUAACGCUCACGGAGUUCACUGUGAGAUGCAGCCCCAGUUCUAUGUUGAGACAUGCAAACCAGCCAGAGAUUAUGUACCCGGCUUGCCCUGGGAUGUUGAAGCAUGAAUCAGUGAAAGAGUUCUACUUUUUUUUUAAUCUUAAACUUGGUUGCUUUCCCAAGAUUCCUGUGCAAGAAUCAGCAAGGCUCAGUUUUGCAGGUCACAAGUCAAUGUGAGGCUCAGUCUUUGAAAACAAGGGCAGUCAUUACCAACCACCAAGCUCUGUGUCCUGAAGAAUGAAGGCAGUUGUGUUUACACAGAUAAAGGCCACAAGUAAAGAAUCACAGAACUCCAGAGCUCAACCGGACUGGCCGUGUGAUGUUAGCCUUUACAUUUACCCUGGAUGUCCUCAAUUGUCCUCUAGAAAGGACACAAUGAAUGACUGCACUGAUCCUGAUUCCAGUGGGGACACUCUGGCCCAGUUCUAACCUGAAGACUCUCUAGCUGUUCUAUCAGUGGUAGGAGGUAAGUACUUAUCAAACAGCAAGUGGGUGCUUAAUAAACACUUAGGCUACAUCAUGUAUAGUAAAAGUUGAGUAAGCACAGCACUUAACUUGUAGAGACAGGAGGCAAUGCCCAGGCUUGUUUCUUGCUCUAAUAAUCUGUUUUACACCUUCCAGGAUUUCGGAUUUGCCCCUGUCCAGAUUCCCAACUGGCCAUAAACAAAGUGUCUUGGAUGCUAUAGGUAAGAAUGUAACUCACUCCAUCUGGUCUCUCAUCUUUCAAUUUUCUACACAGUCACCCAUCACAACCCAUUUCUUUCCAUCUUGCUGUCAUUUUUCCAGCCUCCAUGCUAGAAACCUUGAUGUUAGUUUCAUCUGUUCCCACAUCCAAAAAUCUCUGAGAGGUUUCCAGAAUCAUCCUUUCUUCUGAAUGCCCACUGUUACCCCGGGCCAGGAUCUGAACCAAUUCACAUGUAAAGGACCUUCAAGCUUCCUAUAUGGACUCCUUUGGAAUGGGGGAGGUGGUAGGAGGAGGCAGAGCAGUGAGUCCAAUACAAAUUGCUGAAGACGGUGGGGGCAGUUUGUUUAAAGUGAGUGAGCAGAUCUGACAGGAACAAAACCCAGAGUCUAGGAUUCCCUUUCUUGAAAAACAUAUUUUUCUCAAUCACUGCUUAAGUAUUACUGAAUCUAUCACCAACAUUUUUUAAUGUAGAAUUUUAAAAUGAAUUACAAGGGAGAAUACUUUCUGUUCUCAGUAUUUGAAUAAAAUAACAAAUAGUCAUUGCCUUUUGGAAUUUCUGAUCUGUGUAAAGCUGAAUAAAAUGUGUCAACUGACAUUAAAAAAAAUAAAAGUUUCUUCUGGAUCUACAAAUUCUGUUUCACUCCUCAGACACCCCAGAACACUUAACACACAAUCUCUUUACAAGUCCUGAGCUUAGUAGGUGUUCAACACAGCCUUGCUGAAACAGUGUCCUGGGCUGUCUGUGCAUUUCACAAGGAAACAGAUGGGAUUUAUCUUUGACUCCUCUCCUGUGCUUUAUUCUUUAAAAUUUCCCAGGCUUUUUUCAAGCUGUUUCUUGCCACUUUCACCUCCCCUCUCUCCAAAUUCUUUGAAUUCCAUUCUGUACUCAAGCUUCUUUUAAAACGAGGCUUUGUUUAAAGCAGUUUUUUUUCCCCCCAUUGCAUAGCCUUUAAAAACACCAGGGAGCCAGAAAAAUGUCUCCAGCUUUCUGUAGCACAGAUCAGAUAGACCAGUUCAGCUGAGUGAGCCCUUGACGGAUCAAAUAAGAAAGCGCCAACUACAGCAUGAUCAAUAUAUGUUGACUUAAUUCUUUUUUCGCCCCAAGGGUCUUUGUGAGCAUUUCCAUAACCGGACACCAUUUAGUAAACUGCAUGGUGCCUAAAACAAUAAAUGUGCCCUCUAAAGGGCAUGAUGUAUUCACUGGGAAAAAUUAAACAAAACAGUUAAAAGUGAAUCAAAGCUGGAAUGAGUAUAGGGAACUUAUACGCAUAGAGAUGAGGUAUAUAAUUUUAAAAAGUGGAGUGGAAGAAUCAGACUGUUGAAGGGGAAGGAUGUAUUUCAAAAGCCCUUUGAAAAAUAUAUACAAUGAAAGGUGGUUUUCUAUGUCCUUUUCUUGUUUGUGAGUUUUAGAAAUUCUACUGAAAGACGGAGACUUUCUCAGUGUUAUUGAACCAAUCAAUCCACAUGUUUUAAGACCCAGUGCCAAUAUUCUUGCUAAUCCUUAGUAUUUUUAUUUAUCUGCUGAUGAUACACUGAAGGAUUCAUGUAGCAGUCGACACUGUAAAUCAUUCUUCUGUUUUAAGAGCUAUAAAUUCCUUCCUCUCCACCCUUUUUCAAAAUAUACAUCCUUUAAUCAACAAAACCUUGGCAGAAAGUUCCCAGAAGGUCUGACAAAUGCACAAACCUAAAUGAAUUAAUUUGUGAAAAGCAAAAGUGAUUUUGUAUGCUCUGGCUGCCAAAGACAAAUGACCAAAUUAUAGCAUCUUUAUAAUGGGGGGCGGUGGGAGCCCUCAAUAACCUUUAGGGGUUAAUUGGUCACAGCAGCCACUUUCCUGAUUAAAAGUGGCUCUGAUUUCUUCUCAAUUCUUUGUUUCUAGAUGGAUUUGCCAUUUUCUCAUUGAUUAACUUUUAAAUCAUUUUGAAGCACUAAGAGAGACAUUUUUAAAUGUUAGGUUUUUUUUUUUUUUUAAAGUAUUAUUUCCUUUAGAUAAAAUUGGCUUUGCUACCUCAAAGUCAAACUUUAUAAAUCCUAUUUAGGAGUGGGGACGAUUUACAGUCUGGGGAUAGAGAACAUUGUAAUGCUGAGCUGUAAUAGCGCCAGGCCUUGCUGAGAAUUUGCAGUGUCAGCUUGUUAGAACCUGUAGAAACAGCAGACAUUCAGAAGAGGGGCUUUGAUGGUACUCUAUUGAAGGAGGAGGAUAGCAGGCUUGUCUUCAAGCUGAAUAUGCUUGGCGAGUACACAGAUUUUUCUUAGAGGUUUAUUCACAGUGGCCUUGCAGGGAGGGGCUGGGAGGGAUGCCGACAUGGAAGCUAAAGCCCUCAUAACCAUGUGUUGGGGCAGAUCUAUCAGCCACUUAGUACCAGGGUCCUCUUUAGAAGAUCAAAUAAAAUGACUUAGUAUCCAUUGGGGAAGAUGUUAGUCUUAAAAUCAUGACAGUAAUAAUUAUAGGUCACAUUUAUCCUCUGCUUGCCUAGCGUUUUAUAUAUUAUCUCCUUAACAGCCCAUUGAGGCCAGUUAUCUUCUUCUCAAUUUACAAAUGAGAAAACUGAGGCACAAAGGACAAAUGACCUUCUCAAGGUCACACAACAAGAGCCCCAAUUUGACCCUAGGGAGUCUGAUUUCAGAAGUCACCCAACCCCCUGUAAGACAACAUACAGAACCUUGCCCCUUCAUGAUACAGGCACCAAUAAACACAGCUUCCUUGGAGUGAACGCUGUAGGAUGACUCCCUGCUCGAAGCCCAGACACAUCCAUGAAUAAACGGGGAGGGAAAGAAUGAUAAUAAACAGUAUAUAGUCACAAUGAAGGCUAACAAGCCCAUUCGCUAUAUCAGAAUUUAAAUGAAGUCCAUUUUAAAUUUAAUCUCAAAGGAGAAGUGACCAUCAGAAGCCAGCACAUUAUGAGUUUUUCAAAUCAUGUCAAACAAGCGCAUUCAUUUGUCAAGAUUCAUGGUUUUAGAACAGGAAAAUGAACUGGCUUGUAGAUCAUCCUAAACAGCUGAUUCAUUUAGUGUGCUUUGUUAAUAGGCCUCAUUUUUCAAGUUUGAAAAGUGAAUCCACUGGGUCCUCAGACAUUCUUGUAAAGCGUGUGGUUUGGAGGCCAAUCCAUUGUGUGCAUAACCCCCGCGUGUUUGGGAGAUAAAUUGGAGGGGGAUGCACUCUGUUUUUGUUUACUUGUUUUCCUGUUUAUUUGUUUUAACAGAAAGCAUUUGGUACAUCAAAUAAAUGUUCACACAUCAACAGAGGAAAGAAAAUCAUGCCCAGCUAUCUUGGAUAGACACCUGUCUGAAGUACUGGGUGCCCAAGACCAGUGCCUAACACACUAGGAUCUUGUGACAAUGUGUGGCUGUCACAAUGCCCAGGAUACCACAGGUAUGUAGUUUGAGGUUCUUGGAAACUGUUCUUAUCACAGGAUAUCAUCUCUCUAAAUCCAGACAAAGUGCAUCUCUACCAGUCUCCCCUCAGCUGAUUUCUGAAAUGCCCACCACCACUUCAGAAAAGUGCAAUCGACAUGGAAAAGGACAGAGUCUUAAUCAGCUGUUAUUAAAAUAUACUUCUUAUGCAAAUAUUCUAAGCCCAUAUGAUCAUGUCAACACACCUCCAGGCAAAGGAAGAAGAAUGUGGCUUUUUUGAGUCUAAAGUUUACAUGUACAAUUUGGUUGGUCACUAGCCUUUUUGAGAAGAAUACAGAAUGAAGAUAUAACAUGAGAUUAUUGAAAAGGGUGGGGAAAAGGAGGGGCCCUAAAGCUUCAAUUUCAUCAGCUUCUAUGCAAACCACUCUCUUCUCCACCCUUGGUCACCCCUCCACUCCUCCCCAUCCCAUCAGUUUGUCCAUUUCAGAUGUGAGUGCUUGAUAACCAUUUGCAUCCAUGCUUUCCCACGUGUUGUGCUUUCAGCCCACAAUGUGGUUUCAGCCUGUGUCCCUCAGUAUCCUUUUCUGGAUGUCUACAGUGCUACAGGGCACCUGAGUGUGUUGCAUGGGUCCGUGGUGGGAAUGUUUCAAUAGCACGUUAGGUCUUGAAUGUUCACCUUGAACUUAGCAGCCAUUUUUCACAGAUGAGCUGUGCAUGGGUGACUUAACAUCUGGAUACAUCUGUUCCUGAUCAUCAUAGCUCUGUCUCGUCUCAGCACCAGGUCCUGCUUACGCUUCCUUUGGAGUGCCUCUCACAUCUGUCUUUUCCAUCCACUCUCCCCACUGCUUCUGCUCGUGUCUGCUGCACUUUGCUUCACAUACGGAUCCAUGUUACUACUGUCUCCAAAUUGUGUUCCUCUUCCCAAAGUGGCAAGUACUCUCAUUUGUCCUGCAUGCAGCCUUAAACUUUAACGGCCUAAAAUGAAACUUCAUUUUCAUAUUUUAUCCCCAUGUUUUAAAAAAAAGGAAAAUCAUGAAAUACUUUAAAUAUUUUUUUCUAUUAUUUUUAGGUUGUGCCUGUGACAUGCCCAAGUCCCCAGGCCAGAGAUCAAACUCCAGCCACAGCAUGAACCUGAGCCACAGGGUAACAUGACAAAAGCCAAGCCCUUAACCACUAGGCCACCAGGGAGCUCCAUGAAAUGCUUUUUAUAGGCUGAAGAUCAUCCUCCUUAGACUGAUAUUUGAGGGCUCUGGACCACCUUUACAUAGUCUCCAUUGAUCAUGAGCAUACAAAAAUAAACUCUUUUUUCCAAAGGUUCAUGAAUUUUACUCCCUUUGUCUGCAAGUCAUUCUCAUUUAUUUUUGCAAACUUAGAAUCAUGUAAUGCUUUUAAGAAAUGAUUGCUUUCUGAUGCACAUCUGAGUACCUAUUACUCAAUAAAGGAUUUCAUUUCCAAAUUGCCAGUUUCUACAGUUUGCUUGUUUUCUACCCCAAAACAUCCAA